rnacentral:rRNA from 1 species
GACGAACGCUGGCGGCGUGCUUAACACAUGCAAGUCGAACGAUGAAGCCGGAGCUUGCUCUGGUGAAUUAGUGGCGAACGGGUGAGUAACACGUGAGUAACCUGCCCUUGACUCUGGGAUAACUGCUAGAAAUGGUAGCUAAUACCGGAUACGACCCUCGGAGGCAUCUCCAGGGGGUGGAAAGAAUUUCGGUCAAGGAUGGACUCGCGGCCUAUCAGCUAGUUGGUGAGGUAACGGCUCACCAAGGCGACGACGGGUAGCCGGCCUGAGAGGGUGACCGGCCGCACUGGGACUGAGACACGGCCCAGACUCCUACGGGAGGCAGCAGUGGGGAAUAUUGUACAAUGGGCGCAAGCCUGAUGCAGCAACGCCGCGUGAGGGAUGACGGCCUUCGGGUUGUAAACCUCUUUAGUAGGGAAGAAGCGAAAGUGACGGUACCUGCAGAAAAAGCACCGGCUAACUACGUGCCAGCCGCCGCAGUAA